rnacentral:miRNA from 2 species
UUCCGCUCCUCUUCUUCAUCCU